rnacentral:rRNA from 1 species
GAUGAACGCUGGCGGCGUGCUUAACACAUGCGAGUCGAACGGGAUCCAAGGGGUGCUUGCACUGUUUGGUGAGUGUGGCGAACGGGUGAGUAACACGUGAGUAACCUGUCCUUUUCUUUGGGAUAAGCAUUCGAAAGGGUGUUUAAUACCUUAUGUUCUGUCUGCCUAGCAUGGGGUGGGUGGGAAAGGCUUUGGCCGGAUUUGGGUGGGCUCGCGGUCUAUCAGCUUGUUGGUGGGGUGAUGGCUUACCAAGGCUUUGACGGGUAGCCGGCCUGAGAGGGAGGUCGGUCACAUUGGUGCUGAGACACGGUGCAGACGCCAGCGGGAGGCAGCAGUGGGGGAUGGUGGACAAGGGGAGAAAGCCAGAUGGAGCGACGCCGCGAGGGGGAUGCGGGCCUUGAGGUUGUAAGCUUCUGUGUCGCUGAACAAGUCAUGCCAGUGGGUGUGUGAAGGGAAGGGGUGAAUAAGCGCCGGCUAACUACGUG